rnacentral:tRNA from 1 species
GCCGAGGUCGCCUAGCCCGGUAGGGCGCCAGCCUGGAGAGCUGGUGGUCGCAAGGCCUCGGGA